GAGUUUGAUCCUGGCUCAGAACGAACGUUAGCGGCGCGCCUAACACAUGCAAGUCGAACGCGACAGGGGCAACUCUGUUGAGUGGCGCACGGGUGAGUAACACGUAGGUAAUCUCCCCCUGAGUGGUGGAUAACUUUCCGAAAGGAGAGCUAAUACAGCAUAAGACCACGGCUUCGAAAGAAGCUGAGGUCAAAGCGGAGGAUCGUAAGACUUCGCGCUUGGGGAUGAGCCUGCGGCCCAUCAGGUAGUUGGCGGGGUAAUGGCCCACCAAGCCUUAGACGGGUAGCUGGUCUGAGGAGGAUGA
rnacentral:rRNA from 1 species